AGAAUAUCCAAGUAAGGACUGC
rnacentral:siRNA from 1 species